rnacentral:misc_RNA from 1 species
GUGAAUCAUCAAAUCUUUGAACGCAAAUUGCACUCUCUGGUAUUCCUGAGAGUAUGCCUGUUUGAGGGUCAGUUUAAAUAAAAAUCGGUUUGGUUGCUGCCUUUCGUGGUGACACACCAGAUUUGGGUCGUCUUUCCUUCGGUUAAUUUACCUAAAAUUUUUCAUGAUUUUUUUCGAACGUAGUUAAAUUAUUUUACUUACGUUUGCGAUAUCGAAUACUAGGUGGGG